AAGAAGAUAUUGGCACUAUCGCUUCCCACAUAACAGGAGCAACUAAUUGGAGGCCGGAAGGAAUUAAGCAUAAAAAAAAUGAAGUCUUUUUAGAUGUGAACGAAGAAAUUAAUCUGUUCGUCUCUUCGCAAGGUAAAGAGCUUAGUGCAUCAGUGACGGGUUGUAUUAAUUUCAAAUGCUUACUUUCUGGUAUGCCUGAGUGUAGGUUUGGGCUCAACGACACGAUUCCUCUAACAGAUACAAAAAGAGAUAAAAAGAAAUCCGUUGAAGUGGAUGAUGUUACCUUUCACUCUUGCGUCAGAAUUAAUGGUAAAACCGAGCGUGGAAUAAG